CCUACGGGAGGCAGCAGUGGGGAAUAUUGCUCAAUGGGGGAAACCCUGAACCAGCCACGCCGCGUGGAGGAUGAAGGUUUUAGGAUUGUAAACUCCUUUUGUUAGAGAAGAUUAUGACGGUAUCUCACGAAUAAGCACCGGCUAACUCCGUGCCAGCAGCCGCGGUAAUACGGAGGGUGCAAGCGUUACUCGGAAUCACUGGGCGUAAAGAGUGCGUAGGCGGGUUAAUAAGUCAGAUGUGAAAUCCUGUAGGUUAACUACAGAACUGCAUUUGAAACUGUUACUCUGGAGUGUGCGAGAGGUAGGUGGAAUUCUUGGUGUAGGGGUAAAAUCCGUAGAGAUCAAGCGGAAUACUCAUUGCGAAGGCGACGUGCUGGAACAUUACUGACGCUGAUGCACGAAAGCGUGGGGAGCAAACAGGAUUAGAUACCCCAGUAGUC
rnacentral:rRNA from 1 species